rnacentral:rRNA from 1 species
UACGAAGGGUGCAAACGUUGCUCGGAAUUAUUGGCGUAAAGCGCACGUAGGCGGCUCUGUAAGUCGGGAUGUGAAAUCCCUCGGCUUAACCAAGGAAGUGCAUCCGAAACUGCAAGGCUUGAGUACUUAAGAGGAUCGCGGAAUUCCCGGUGUAGAGGUGAAAUUCGUAGAUAUCGGGAGGAACACCAGUGGCGAAGGCGGCGAUCUGGGAA